rnacentral:tRNA from 1 species
GUUUUUGUAGUUGAUUUACAACGGUGGUUUUUCGGGCCACAGGUCUCAUUUGAGCAAGAAUU